CUUUCAACAACGGAUCUCUUGGCUCUCGCAUCGAUGAAGAACGCAGCGAAAUGCGAUAAGUAAUGUGAAUUGCAGAAUUCAGUGAGUCAUCGAAUCUUUGAACGCACCUUGCGCCCCUUGGUAUUCCGAGGGGCAUGCCUGUUUGAGUGU
rnacentral:rRNA from 1 species